rnacentral:rRNA from 1 species
UACGUAGGGGGCAAGCGUUGUCCGGAAUCAUUGGGCGUAAAGAGCGUGUAGGCGGUUCGGUAAGUCGGCUGUGAAAGUCCAGGGCUCAACCCUGGGAUGCCGGUCGAUACUGCCGGACUAGAGUUCGGAAGAGGCGAGUGGAAUUCCCGGUGUAGCGGUGAAAUGCGCAGAUAUCAGGAGGAACACCGAUGGCGAAGGCAGGUCUCUGGGCCACUACUGACGCUGAGAAGCGAAAGCAUGGGGAGCGAACAGG